GGGGUGAAAAGAACAAAGUUUUGUCCAUCUUUGUUCAUCAUAGCUGAAAGUUAGAGAAGAGAAAGGAGAGGAGAAAGCUCUUGAGUAUUCGGUCAUUAGGAGGAGGAAAAUUGAAGGUAAUCCCCAACCAUAGUGGGCUUGGAGCUGUGAGGGAAUUCGGAGUGGCCACCCGUUCUGAAAGUUUGAUUUUCUUCUGGUGAACUGGACAUCCUUUUAAUUACGUUUGAGGUUUUGGGCUUUUAAAUGUAAUAAGGCCGCUUAUUUA